rnacentral:rRNA from 1 species
AUUGAACGCUGGCGGCAUGCUUUACACAUGCAAGUCGAACGGUAACAGGCCGCAAGGUGCUGACGAGUGGCGAACGGGUGAGUAAUGCAUCGGAACGUGCCCAGUCGUGGGGGAUAACGCAGCGAAAGCUGUGCUAAUACCGCAUACGAUCUAUGGAUGAAAGCGGGGGACCGUAAGGCCUCGCGCGAUUGGAGCGGCCGAUGUCAGAUUAGGUAGUUGGUGGGGUAAAGGCCCACCAAGCCAACGAUCUGUAGCUGGUCUGAGAGGGCGACCAGCCACACUGGGACUGAGACACGGCCCAGACUCCUACGGGAGGCAGCAGUGGGGAAUUUUGGACAAUGGGCGCAAGCCUGAUCCAGCAAUGCCGCGUGCAGGAAGAAGGCCUUCGGGUUGUAAACUGCUUUUGUACGGAACGAAACGGUCUGGGUUAAUACCCUGGGCUAAUGACGGUACCGUAAGAAUAAGCACCGGCUAACUACGUGCCAGCCGCCGCAGUAACAC